GGGCACCACCGGCGGACGGCUCACUAACACGUCGGUAACCUACCCUCGGGAGGGGGAUAACCCCGGGAAACUGGGGCUAAUUCCCCAUAGGCCUGAGGUACUGGAAGGUCCUCAGGCCGAAAGGGACUUAUGUCCGCCCGAGGAUGGGCCGGCGGCCGAUUAGGUAGUUGGUGGGGUAAUGGCCCACCAAGCCGAAGAUCGGUACGGGCUGUGAGAGCAGGAGCCCGGAGAUGGACACUGAGACACGGGUCCAGGCCCUACGGGGCGCAGCAGGCGCGAAACCUCCGCAAUGCGGGAAACCGCGACGGGGGGACCCCGAGUGCCGUGGCAACGCCACGGCUUUUCCGGAGUGUGAAAAGCUCCGGGAAUAAGGGCUGGGCAAGGCCGGUGGCAGCCGCCGCGGUAAUACCGGCGGCCCGAGUGGUGGCCGCUAUUAUUGGGCCUAAAGCGUCCGUAGCCGGGCCCGUAAGUCCCUGGCGAAAUCCCACGGCUCAACCGUGGGGCUUGCUGGGGAUACUGCGGGUCCUGGGACCGGGAGAGGCGGGGGGUACCCCUGGGGUAGGGGUGAAAUCCUAUAAUCCCAGGGGGACCGCCAGUGGCGAAGGCGCCCCGCUGGAACGGGUCCGACGGUGAGGGACGAAAGCCAGGGGAGCAAACCGGAUUAGAUACCCGGGUAGUCCUGGCUGUAAAGGAUGCGGGCUAGGUGUCGGGUGAGCCUCGAGCUCGCCCGGUGCCGUAGGGAAGCCGUUAAGCCC
rnacentral:rRNA from 1 species